rnacentral:rRNA from 1 species
GAUGAACGCUGGCGGCGUGCUUAACACAUGCAAGUCGAACGGUGAAGCAGAGCUUGCUCUGUGGAUCAGUGGCGAACGGGUGAGUAACACGUGAGCAACCUGCCCCUGACUCUGGGAUAAGCGCUGGAAACGGCGUCUAAUACUGGAUAUGAGCUGCGACCGCAUGGUCAGCAGUUGGAAAGAUUUUUCGGUCUGGGAUGGGCUCACGGCCUAUCAGCUUGUUGGUGAGGUAAUGGCUCACCAAGGCGUCGACGGGUAGCCGGCCUGAGAGGGUGACCGGCCAAAAUGGGACUGAGACACGGCCCAGACUCCUACGGGAGGCAGCAGUGGGGAAUAUUGCACAAUGGGCGAAAGCCUGAUGCAGCAACGCCGCGUGAGGGAUGACGGCCUUCGGGUUGUAAACCUCUUUUAGCAGGGAAGAAGCGAAAGCGACGGUACCUGCAGAAAAAGCGCCGGCUAACUACGUG